rnacentral:rRNA from 1 species
UUGAAGUCGGAAUCGCUAGUAAUCGCAGAUCAGCAUGUUGCGGUGAAUACGUUUCCUGGUCUUGUACACACCGCCCGUCAAACCAUGAGAGUCGCCAACACCCAAAGUCCGCUUUGCGGCCUAAGGUGGGGGAGAUGAUUGGGGUUAAGUCGUAACAAGGUACC